GACGAACGCUGGCGGCGUGCUUAACACAUGCAUGUCGAACGGAAGACCCUGCUUUUGUGGGGUGCUCGAGUGGCGAACGGGUGAGUAACACGUGAGUAACCUGCCCUUGACUUUGGGAUAACUUCAGGAAACUGGGGCUAAUACCGGAUAGGAGCUCCUGCUGCAUGGUGGGGGUUGGAAAGUUUCGGCGGUUGGGGAUGGACUCGCGGCUUAUCAGCUUGUUGGUGGGGUAGUGGCUUACCAAGGCUUUGACGGGUAGCCGGCCUGAGAGGGUGACCGGCCACAUUGGGACUGAGAUACGGCCCAGACUCCUACGGGAGGCAGCAGUGGGGAAUAUUGCACAAUGGGCGGAAGCCUGAUGCAGCAACGCCGCGUGCGGGAUGACGGCCUUCGGGUUGUAAACCGCUUUCGCCUGUGACGAAGCGUGAGUGACGGUAAUGGGUAAAGAAGCACCGGCUAACUACGUG
rnacentral:rRNA from 1 species